rnacentral:rRNA from 1 species
GACGAACGCUGGCGGCGUGCUUAACACAUGCAAGUCGAGCGGUAAGGCCCUUCGGGUACGACGAGCGGCGAACGGGUAGAGUAACACGUGGGUGACCUGCCUCUAGCUCUGGGAUAAGCCUGGGAAACUGGGUCUAAUACCGGAUAUGACUCCACGGCGCAUGUUGUGGGGUAGGAAAGCCUUGUGUGGCUAGAGAUGGGCCC